GACGAACGCUGGCGGCGUGCCUAAUACAUGCAAGUAGAACGCACAGUUUAUACCGUAGCUUGCUACACCAUAGACUGUGAGUUGCGAACGGAUGAGUAACGCGUAGGUAACCUGCCUGGUAGCGGGGGAUAACUAUUGGAAACGAUAGCUAAUACCGCAUAAUAUUAAUUAUUGCAUGAUAAUUAAUUGAAAGGUGCAAUUGCACCACUACCAGAUGGACCUGCGUUGUAUUAGCUAGUAGGUGAGGUAACGGCUCACCUAGGCGACGAUACAUAGCCGACCUGAGAGGGUGAUCGGCCACACUGGGACUGAGACACGGCCCAGACUCCUACGGGAGGCAGCAGUAGGGAAUCUUCGGCAAUGGACGAAAGUCUGACCGAGCAACGCCGCGUGAGUGAAGAAGGUUUUCGGAUCGUAAAGCUCUGUUGUAAGAGAAGAACGGGUGUGAGAGUGGAAAGUUCACACUGUGACGGUAUCUUACCAGAAAGAGACGGCUAACUACGUG
rnacentral:rRNA from 1 species